rnacentral:misc_RNA from 1 species
AAGUCGUAACAAGGUUUCCGUAGGUGAACCUGCGGAAGGAUCAUUACCUUUACAUUUACAAGUCCACGGGGGCAUGCUUUCCGAAAGGACAGCUGGUGGAUGUCUGGUUCCACUGGCUGGGGCGCGAAAGAUAUUAGUUCCACGUUUAGGUACCUGCUACUAAUAGGCUAGUAACGCUGAUCGAGCUGCUUCCUGAACCUCACCCUUGCUUUUUGCGCACCUAUUGUUUCCUCGGCAGGCUUGCCUGCCAGGAGGACCCCAUUCAACCCUUUGCAAUUGCAGUCAGCGUCAGAAACAACGUAAUCGUUACAACUUUCAACAACGGAUCUCUUGGUUCUG